UACGGGGGGGGCGAGCGUUGUCCGAAGUUACUGGGCGUAAAGCGCGUGUAGGCGGGUUGUUAAGUCCGCUGUGAAAGCCCGGGGCUCAACGCAGGAGGGUCGGUGGAUACUGGAAGUCUUGAAGUGGCUAGGGGGAAAUGGAAUUACCGGUGUAGCGGUGAAAUGCGCAGAUAUCAGGAGGAACACCGGUGGCGAAGGCGGGUCUCUGGGCCGAUACUGACGCUGA
rnacentral:rRNA from 1 species